rnacentral:misc_RNA from 1 species
CGAUGGCGCUGCACAUCACAGCAUCACCACAGACGUGCAUACAGCGCGAGGCGACGCCUGAGCACGGUGGAGCACUCGCCUACCCAUCCACAGUUAAAGCACAUCUGAUGCAGACGCUCCUUUAAUCGCACGCUUCGAUGCUGCGCGCGCGGGGAGGGGCAUAGACCACAUGCAUGGCUGCACUGCUCUACCUUAACCCAUAGAUAAGGGUGCACCCGUACACACUUACACCCACACUCUUCUGCUGCUGCUGCUGCUGCUUUCUCGUGUAGUCGGCCACUUGGUCGUCGCUCGUCGGUGCGCCUCUGGCAAGCUGUCUGCGUCGCUUCGCACCUCACGGGCCGUGAGGCCCGCUUUACCGCCGCCCCCCCCCCCCCCCCCCUUGCAGGAAGGCGUCGAAGGGCCUGUGCUUCUACUCGAUGGCGGUGCGCUGCCAGCGCCGAACGGUACCCGCACAGACGCCUUGACUUUGCCAAACCCGCUCAUGCCGUCGGUGAACAUCGCAGUGCCGUUCAGCGUCAUCACAGAGCCGCUGGAGCUGGAGAGGGCGAUGCUCGGCCACUAGACCACUGUGGCCGUGUUCACCAGCGGGCCUGGCCGCUCGCCGUGGAGCAUCUUUCUCCUUCCGUGCCUUCUCGACGAAUCGUCUCCUCAGAUGUCGUCCGGCGACGUGCAGCGGUGCGGGUGUCGCCGGGCUGCUCCUGCACGCCCCCGCAUCCUCGCCUUCAACUCCUUCUCUCUCCUACCUUGAAGCUGUGGGAGGAGUGAGCGUACUCGCUGCGCGUGCUGCGCCCGCGGCGGUAGGUACAGCUGGAGUACAAUACCUCAAACAUCGGCAGCAGCAACCGCACUAGUCCAACUCCUCUGCCUUUCUCACGCCUGAGGCGUCGAUGUGGUCUGUGAUGGGGUCGCGCGCACGCCACGGGAAGCCCCCAAGGCGGGGUUGCCGUGUCUGUCACGACCCCGCCAUCCGGCUUGACGCUCUCGCCGGCGUUUCCGACGGAGAAUGCUGAGGAGCUGGAUAUGGGCCGAGGGGCGGGUAUGCCGAGCGCUUCCCCUCUACGCACAGUGACCCGACACUUUGUGGCGGCGCCGCUGAGAGCCCCCUCGGCCGGCGGCGCCAACAAGCGCGAGAACCCGUUGGCGCACACUCCUCAAGAACUUUUCGGCGCAGCCUUGUUGUGCUCACUGCGAGGGCAUCCACCUCGCGAGACAUCUCUCCGAGCGCUGCCGCCGUGCGCACGCGUCUUGAGGAAGACCGGUGACGGGCUGCUGACGCGCCAGCCUUGUAUGGAUCCGGGCUGCCUUUCUCAUUAUUCCGCGCUGCGCGAAACGUGAACACAGCGGAGGUGAGGGAAGCUGUGGAUGUGUCCCUCUGUGUUCGUGCUUCUCUGUGUCUGCACUCUGGGUCGGCGCGCCUUCUGCGUCCUCUACACCAUCACCAUCGUUAAGCGUAGCUGCGACCUCAGCUCAGCUCAUCUUCCUGCCUUCUGCUUUCCUGUCCUUCGAUUCUUGUCGCCCCUAACACCCCCCCCCCCCCCCCGGGGUGUACAGUGCACGAGGGCACGCGGAGGCGAGGUUGGCGCGAACCGACAACUUCCACGCCCGGGGGGGGUACGCACGUGUACUCCCACACGAGUGGGUAAGUGAACGCAGAGACGAAAGAAAGGAAGUCCGUGCAGCGCCCCAGCUGGAGCGCAUCACUGGCGGCGGCUUGCUGUUUCUCUUUGGCUUUCGAAGUGAGUGGUGGGGAGAGUGUACUCGUCCCUCUACUACAGACUUGUUCCACGCCUCCACCCCCUCCCCCUGAAUCUCUUUCCGCAUCGGCCGUCGCUCGCCGCAUCUUUCCUCUCUCUCUGCCGUCUUGCUUCUGCUUCGCGCCUCUUGUGCCGGGGUCGGCUACAAAG